UACGUAGGGUGCAAGCGUUGUCCGGAAUUAUUGGGCGUAAAGAGCUCGUAGGCGGUUUGUCGCGUCGGGAGUGAAAACCAGGUGCUUAACACCUGGCUUGCUUUCGAUACGGGCAGACUAGAGGCAUGCAGGGGAGAACGGAAUUCCUGGUGUAGCGGUGAAAUGCGCAGAUAUCAGGAGGAACACCGAUGGCGAAGGCAGGUCUCUGGGCCGAUACUGACGCUGAGGAGCGAAAGCGUGGGGAGCGAACAGG
rnacentral:rRNA from 1 species